CGCACAUUGCGUCCCUCGGCAUUCCGGGGGGCAUGCCUGUUCGAGCGUCAUUACACCCCUCAAGCGUAGCUUGGUAUUGGAUAUCCGCAGGCCUUUUUACACAGGGCUUGCAGGUCCGAAAAACAGUGGCGGUUCCCGAGGAUUUCGCGCGUAGUAAAUAUUAUCCCGCGCUGGAAAAAAUCGGUGGGCUUGCCAAAACCCUCCAUAAUCUCCAUGAUUGACCUCGGAUCAGGUAGGGAUACCCGCUGAACUUAA
rnacentral:misc_RNA from 1 species